rnacentral:misc_RNA from 1 species
GAAAGGACAAUGAUAAACAUUCCUGAAUUACAUUCAAAAAAAACAAAAAAAUGGAAAUUCAGUAGUGUGAGAUCUAAUUCAGAUACAGUUGUUCACAUAACCAAUACACCACCAAGAAGUUAGAGGAUCCCUACACCAACGAGAUUAAAGAUUUCAGGUUCUUAUCAUGCCUUACAAAAUACCAAAAAAGAAAAAAAUUGUUUGUUUCAAGUUCCUACUUUGCCAAUAAAAAACUGACACUACAUUUUCCUUUAAAUAGAAUCCAUGACACAAAUAUGUUUCUUUAUUCGUUAAAGUUUCCUCAUUGUCUGGGCAUAACACACAACUGACUCCAGACACACACUUAAAGUAACUAUCAAAUUCCCAAAUCCCAAUUCAGACGAAGAUCAGGGUAUAAAAUUGUUGCAGAACACAAAUGAUGCAAAAUAAGAUCAUGUUCUUUGCUCAAAGCCAAUGAUCAUCCAACCAUAUAUUAACUAAUCAUGUUAUAUCUUGUCACACUAUUUUCUUUUAAACCUUCUAGCAAAUACCAAUAAUAAACAUAAAAAUAAAUCCAAGGGGAAAAUGAAGCUUAUGAAAGCCCAUACCUUUCAUCAUCAAAAAAUUUACA